rnacentral:lncRNA from 1 species
ACCCUUUUCCUGCCUAGCUGUCCAGAGGAGGAACUGAGAGAACUUCCCAAGCCCACUGCUCAAAUAUGGCCUUCCUUAGUCAUCCACAUAUGCCUGUCUAGUGGAGACAUCAUGCUGUGGACUCCAGGACAGAGAGGUAAGGCCAGAUGGACGCGUGGCAGUCAUGGAGUUGGCUGACCUUGCCAUAGGUACAGAGUGAAUGCUUUGGGAUAGAAAAGGUCAGUCAUGUGCCCCGAAUACAGGAGGAAACGGGCUGUGUGCUGUGGGGACAGAGGAGCAGGCCUGGCCAGCACACCUGCUCGUCCCCCGCUCUGGCCCCACCCUGCUCUGACGCCAUCCACUGCAGUGCCAAGGAGGCAGACCCCCAGGAGCUGCAGGGAGGCUUCCUGUAGGCUUGUUCACAAGCCCGAUGUGCUGCCCCAGGGCAUCUCCACAGCCGAGUCCCACAAACAUGGCUCCAUGCCGGAGAGUCUAGGCUGUCAUACUGAAAGGAUUUUUCUAAAACAUGCUUCGAGUCUGUUCUUUACUUUAAAUGCAGAAAGAGAAACACACCAGAGAAGAACAGGGCAAGUGUCACCACACGAGGUGGCUUUUGUUGCCUCUGACGUCGGGUGACUUUUACAUCAAUUGAGCAGCAGUCACUUAAUUCUGCCACAGCUACCUCAUUCCAUCACAACUAGCUAAGGAGCUGGGCUGGACCCUGUACUGCUCUUUAUAGCCUGUACGUGAAAAAAAAAUCUUAUUUUCAAAUAGUU